AAAAUGGAAACAUUAAUAGAUUAAAUAUACUUAUAUUAAAUAUGCCCAAUUCUCUCCUGGCAUUGCCAUCUUAAUAUAUAGAGAACUCGCAAUCGAUCAAGCUCUGCAACAGACUCAGUGAUCAGAGCAUUGCACUAGAAUUGCAAGUUUGUGGGUUCAAUUCCUGCCAAAAAGCCUAUGUAGUUGCAUUUUUUGCAACUGGUCCCAGUUUGGUCUUAGAAUGUAUGUAUUCCUCACUCAAAAUUUUCCUUCGCCAAAAAUCCCUAUAGAUUACUUAGCCAUUUUAGUCAUUGACAUCAUCAAUUUUGUGUCCAUACUGUACAUAUUAUUUUUUUAACUCUUCCAAUUAUUUGAGUAUUUCCCAUUAUAUGUAAGUUAGAUUCCCCAGAGCAUGUGACUGGGGGGACAAGUUUCAAC